GUAUCAUGCUCAUCAGUUAAAUCUUUCUCAAUAGUUGUGUUAGCACUUAGUGCGAUCUCCCUUUCUUUUUACCAAAUUCAUCGUUCUCAUGCUGUGCUCUUCAGUUCUUCGUAUGUGAUGUUCAUGCUCAUUAGUUAAAUCUUUCUCAAUAGUUGACAGGUGCGUGUGAGAGUAAAUGUUAGUGUACUACACAUGUAACAUGUAUUUGUUUUCUUCUGCGGAUAGAGAUAUGAAUACAUAUAUUUUCCUGAUAUUGAAAUUCUGAAUGGAGUGGUAUGAAUUAAUAGUUGUAUCUAUUAAAAUAUGGGUGUAAAGUUGAACUUAGGAGGGCAAUUUUCUGUCACAAAUCCUGAAUCUUUUCUUACAAGAUGCAUAGGCACAUGAUGGUUGGACUUAGGACUAGGGAGAAUCCCGUCUCACUACAAAGUCUUGAUUCCCAAAUCGAUAUGAUUAGUUGAGCUUUCUCAUAGUAAUCUUCCUUAUGAAUGUUAACAACAAAUAGUAGCAGGAUGAAACACUCAAUUACAAAAAUAAUGAUCAAAGGUGUACAUCACAAAUGAUGGCAUUUUGUUUUAAUAUGUUUUAAUAUGUUUCCUUGGACAGGAGUGAUAGCUUUUGUUUUUCAAGGUCAGAUCGGCAUUUUGGUAUCUGUCCGCUGAUCGUGUUUGCUAUUUCAGGAAUGUCCGAGAGAUCUCGCUGAUAUGCGGCGAAGCCGAUAGCAUUGUUUUACGAAUCAAGAGUACGUGUCGGCAACGAACAAAGUCUGUGAAAGGAUUGGAGUCACUGAAACCUGCACAGAGGAAUGCACAGAGGAAGGACUGCAUAACCAAGUUCUUCGAAAAGGCUGUAAAAAACUCAGUCUUGAUGUUGUUGGUUUUGUUGCCUUCUGAAAGCAUUGUUUUAUUUGCUGCUGCUUUGUUGGAACUUGUAACUCAAGUUUGCAUUGUUUUAUUUUUUCAUGAGAAGCAGUAUUGUAGUUCUGCACCUUAUAGUCUCUGCCUUUUUAUUUAGCUACUCCCGAAUCUUCCCUUUUGGUGAUCUUAUUUUCCUGUAUCAGAAUUUCCUCACCGCUUCCAGGGUUUCUCUGCAACAAUGUAAAAACUUUAGAUUCAUCAUAUAGUUUGUGUUCUUUCUUUUUUAA